UCCUCCUAAAGAGUAACGGAGGAGCACGAAGGUUGGCUAAUCCUGGUCGGACAUCAGGAGGUUAGUGCAAUGGCAUAAGCCAGCUUGACUGCGAGCGUGACGGCGCGAGCAGGUGCGAAAGCAGGUCAUAGUGAUCCGGUGGUUCUGAAUGGAAGGGCCAUCGCUCAACGGAUAAAAGGUACUCCGGGGAUAACAGGCUGAUACCGCCCAAGAGUUCAUAUCGACGGCGGUGUUUGGCACCUCGAUGUCGGCUCAUCACAUCCUGGGGCUGAAGUAGGUCCCAAGGGUAUGGCUGUUCGCCAUUUAAAGUGGUACGCGAGCUGGGUUUAGAACGUCGUGAGACAGUUCGGUCCCUAUCUGCCGUGGGCGCUGGAGAACUGAGGGGGGCUGCUCCUAGUACGAGAGGACCGGAGUGGACGCAUCACUGGUGUUCGGGUUGUCAUGCCAAUGGCACUGCCCGGUAGCUAAAUGCGGAAGAGAUAAGUGCUGAAAGCAUCUAAGCACGAAACUUGCCCC
rnacentral:rRNA from 1 species